GUGGGGAAUAUUGGACAAUGGGCGAAAGCCUGAUCCAGCCAUGCCGCGUGUGUGAAGAAGGUCUUCGGAUUGUAAAGCACUUUAAGUUGGGAGGAAGGGCAGUAAGUUAAUACCUUGCUGUUUUGACGUUACCGACAGAAUAAGCACCGGCUAACUUCGUGCCAGCAGCCGCGGUAAUACGAAGGGUGCAAGCGUUAAUCGGAAUUACUGGGCGUAAAGCGCGCGUAGGUGGUUUUGUAAGUUGGAGGUGAAAUCCCCGGGCUCAACCUGGGAACUGCCUCCAAAACUGCAUGACUAGAGUACGGUAGAGGGUAGUGGAAUUUCCUGUGUAGCGGUGAAAUGCGUAGAUAUGCGGAGGAACACCAGUGGCGAAGGCGACUACCUGGACUGAUACUGACACUGAGGUGCGAAAGCGUGGGGAGCAAACAGGAUUAGAAACCCGAGUAGUCC
rnacentral:rRNA from 1 species